rnacentral:misc_RNA from 1 species
GAUGAAGAACGCAGCGAAAUGCGAUAAGUAAUGUGAAUUGCAGAAUUCAGUGAAUCAUCGAAUCUUUGAACGCACAUUGCGCCCAUUAGCAUUCUAGUGGGCAUGCCUGUUCGAGCGUCAUUUCAACCCUUAAGCCCUGUUGCUUAGCGUUGGGAGCCUACAGUACUGUAGCUCCCCAAAGUUAGUGGCGGAGUCGGUUUCACACUCUAGACGUAGUAAUUUUUUCUCGUCUGUAGUUGAGCCGGUCCCCUGCCGUAAAACACCCAAUUUAUCAAGGUUGACCUCGGAUCAGGUAGGAAUACCCACUGAACUUAAGCAUAUCAAUAAGCGGAGGA